ACAAAUUCACGCCGCCACCAUCGGUUCUCUUUUUGUUUUCCCAGCACGUUGCCCCACCUCCAUCCAUCCUUGAGGCCGCCGGUCGCGCCAUGACGACGGCACGACAAAAUCUCGCCGACGAUUUCCACCACACAAAGCGCUAUGGCCGAUCUGCAGCAUGGCAUCGUUGCAGGAUGGAUCCCAGCCUCAUCCGCUCCUCUAAUUUUGCCAUGUUCUUGAUCUAGGGGACCGUCGUCCCUGAGCAUGGCGUUGUUGUAGGACAGAUCCCAGCCUUACCUACACCUCUAAUUCUACUAUGUUCUUGAUCUAGGAGACCAUCGUCCCAGCCGCAUAGGAGUUGGAGGUGUUGUUGACUAAGUUCCUUGCAUAUACACGGGAGCAUGGGUGAUGGUGGUACUCCUUGGCACAUGGGGUAGUGGUCCUGAAGGCCAGAUGCAAGUCGUUAUGCUCAUAGUCUCACAAACAACGCAAAGCCACACAGGUACUUAUCACCCUGGAGGAGACAUUAUAUAUUUAAUUGGAUUUUUCUGCCAUGUGCCAUGUCUUGGAUUUCACAUAGAUGAACAAGAGUCAAUUCUUGAGCGAGAUGCCCAGCUGCAGGUCGUAUGGUCGAGAGCCGAGAAAGAGGCAGUAGGAUGGUUGGUCCAACCUUAUUGAGAAAAUUCUGAGCAUGUGAUCAUUGUCCAGAUUUCCCUCGCUUAACAAUUAUCACCAUCGUCUGCACUAGGAAAUCUCCAGUAUAUUUGCAUGGAUUGUCUGACAAAAAGUCAACCAGUGAUCUAUGGUUGGAUGUUCGCCGUAGUCACCAGCCGACCAGCGUCGAUCAAUCAACACCCGCAGCUGCAUCGUUCAUACAAGGUCAGGACUCAUAUAGGAAUCCAUGUCGUUACAAUGUCUCCUUAAUUUCUCUCCUCCCCUUCCAGCAUAUAUGGGUGAUGUCCCACACAAAGUUGUUGCUUGCACUAUGUCGUGGCCAAGGGUGAAUACACCACAUGCUGUACAGGCACAUACGAUUGCUGGUUGCAGCCAACUAACAGAUUUGCGAAAGUACAUUCCUACGAAAUGUCAUGUUUCAAAUCCUCGAGGAUUCAGUGGAUGGGUCAUUCAUAUCUGAUUUCAUAAAACACAUUAUUAUCUGAUAAUAUAUAUAUAUAUAUAUAUAUAUAUAUAUUCGAAUGGGAUAUUAAUUAACAAGGCCGUGCAACGCACGGGUUGACGACUAGUAUGUAUUAGUCGUUGUGAUUGAAUGGCCGCUUGUGGAAUAAUAUAAGGGAUGAAUGAAAUUGGUAGUUCAGAGUUCGUUAAAUUUCAGUGUUACCCCAGGUAUGCUUUAGUUGCCUGCUGGAGUUUAAGGGUUCGUUAACCUUUGUGUGGCCCCCUCUUGGCCUGGCUUCGCUGGUCUACGUUAGCAUUUGGCUAUAUACCCCUGCCCAGUAAUGGUCAUGAUCAAGUACGC